AUUGAACGCUGGCGGCAGGCUUAACACAUGCAAGUCGAGCGGGGGAAGGUAGCUUGCUACCGGACCUAGCGGCGGACGGGUGAGUAAUGCUUAGGAAUCUGCCUAUUAGUGGGGGACAACAUCUCGAAAGGGAUGCUAAUACCGCAUACGUCCUACGGGAGAAAGCAGGGGAUCUUCGGACCUUGCGCUAAUAGAUGAGCCUAAGUCGGAUUAGCUAGUUGGUGGGGUAAAGGCCUACCAAGGCGACGAUCUGUAGCGGGUCUGAGAGGAUGAUCCGCCACGCUGGGACGGAGACACGGCCCAGACUCCUACGGGAGGCAGCAGUGGGGAAUAUUGGACAAUGGGGGGAACCCUGAUCCAGCCAUGCCGCGUGUGUGAAGAAGGCCUUAUGGUUGUAAAGCACUUUAAGCGAGGAGGAGGCUACUUUAGUUAAUACCUAGAGAUAGUGGACGUUACUCGCAGAAUAAGCACCGGCUAACUCUGUGCCAGCCGCCGCCGUAA
rnacentral:rRNA from 1 species